rnacentral:rRNA from 1 species
CGGACGGGUGAGUAAUGUCUGGGAAACUGCCUGAUGGAGGGGGAUAACUACUGGAAACGGUAGCUAAUACCGCAUAACGUCGCAAGACCAAAGAGGGGGACCUGGGCCUCUUGCCAUCGGAUGUGCCCAGAUGGGAUUAGCUAGUAGGUGGGGUAAAGGCUCACCUAGGCGACGAUCCCUAGCUGGUCUGAGAGGAUGACCAGCCACACUGGAACUGAGACACGGUCCAG